rnacentral:lncRNA from 1 species
CCUGAAUUGGUAAUUUUAAGGAAAUUUUGCUGUUUUUGGUUAUUAUCUUGAAUAUUAUUAUAGAUAGAGAUAAACUGUAAACAUCAAUAAUGUUCAGCAAAGUAAGAUCUACAAAUAAGUUUUCCAAGACCAAAAUGGUAUGUUGAUCCCUUUAGGAGUUAUUGCCCUUUAUAGUCAAUUUUUAACCAUUUUUCGUAAAUCUUAGUUAUCUUUUACAAAAAUCUUCUCCUCUGAAACUAGGCCAAAUUAAACCAAACUUGGCCACAAUCAUCAUUGGGGUAUCUAGUUUAAAAAUUGUGUCCGAUGACCCGGCCAACCAACCAAGAUGGCCGCCAUGGCUAAAAAUAGAACAUAGGGGUGAAAUGUAGAUUUUGGCUUAUAACUCUGAAACCGCAGCAUUUAGAGCAAAUCUGACAAUGGGUAAAAUUGUUUAUCAGGUCAAGAUCUAUCUGCCCUGAAUUUUCAGAUGAAUCUGACAACCCGUUGUUGGAUUGCUGCCCCUAAAUUGGUAAUUUUAAGGAAAUUUUGCUGUUUUUGGUUAUUAUCUUAAAUAUUAUUAUAGAUAGAGAUAAACUGUAAACAUCAAUAAUUUUAAGCAAAGUAAGAUUUACAAAUAAGUCAACAUGACGGAAAUGGUCAAUUGACCCCUAAGGAGUUAUUGUCCUUUAUAGUCAAUUUUUAACAAUUUUCAUAAAAUUUGUAAAUUUUAACUAACAUUUUCCACUGAAACUACUGGGCCAAGUUCAUUAUAGAUAGAGAUAAUUGUAAGCAGCAAGAAUGUUCAGUAAAGUAAGAUGUACAAACACAUCACCAUCAUCAAAACACAAUUUUGUCAUGAAUCCAUCUGCUUCCUUUGUUUAAUAUUCACAUAGACCAAGGUGAGCGACACAGGCU